AAAAUGGGCAUUGUGCAACGGAGACCAGCAGAAGAUAUUUCCAAUUGGCUACUUAUGUGGCUCAUGCAUCAAACACCAAUAGAGUUCUGAACGAGAGUGCAAGCAGAAUUUGAAGAGAAGAGUCACCCAAGUUCUCUUACCUCUCUCUCUCUCGCAUCCACCGACGGGUAUCCGUACCUCUGAAGCUUCCGGAACCUUCAGAAGCCACCGGAAUGCAAGACUUUGGGGCGAUCCCCGGCGGAGGAGGAGGAGGAGGGCGCGUCAGGGACUACCCUCCUCUGCCGCCGGCGCAGCCGCAGCUUCCCGUCAAGUGCCCCCGCUGUGACUCCACCAACACCAAAUUCUGCUACUACAACAACUACAACCUCGCCCAGCCCCGCCACUUCUGCAAGUCCUGCCGCCGCUACUGGACCAAAGGAGGCGUCCUCCGCAACGUUCCGGUCGGCGGCGGAUGCCGCAAGUCCAAACGAUCCUCCAUGUCUAAGCCCUCCGGUGGCUCCGAGCGUAAGGACCCACCCCGCCGUCCCUCUGCCGCCCCUCGAUCCAGCAGCGGCAGUGGCAGUGGCAGUGGCAGCGGCUGCUCCACUCUCGCAACCGCUGAUGUGCCCACGUCCACCACCCCCUUCCCCAAUUCGGCCCUCCUGACCCCUCCUCCUGACCCUAACCCCGAUCCGGCCCCUUCCUUCGAUUCAGCGACGACGAUGGAGGUUCCACUGGUCCAGGCAGCGGAUAUCUUCCCGGACACAUCCACCGCCGCAGCGGGGAGCUUCCCGAGCCAGAUGUCGCUCGCUUCAACGCCGGCGAUCCUGGGAUUCAACAGAUUUCCCGAUCCACCACCCGUUCCGCUCCCGCCACAGUCGAAAGCUGCGGAGGAGAUCAGCGCACAGACGGGGUUCACGAAUCAGGCGGUCGCGAUCGACCCACGGGGGGCGGGCUCCGGCGCCGGGUGUGCGAUCGCCGGGAUGGACUGGCCCGGUGCGUCGGUAGACCCGGCGUUCUUCGAUCUCGCCACCGCUGUCGACCCCGCGUCGGCGUACUGGAGCCACGGCCACUGGGAAGACGCCGACCCCGCUCUCUACCUGCCUUGAUUCAACCCCGUAACUGAUUUCAGGUGAUUUAAACUUUAGAUGAGAUUGAGCCGCAGAAAACCAGCAAAGAUAAUAGGUGUAUUCCAGGAGCAAUUUUUUAUUAGGUCAUGCACCGUUCUCUCUCAUCUCCCUCAUCCUAUUCUGCAUUGACAUGGGUGAAGAUUAGGUGCAUAGGCCACUUCGAGCAAUAAACAAGCUAAAGAAGUAGCUCACAUGGAUCUGCAAAAGGACUGGUGAUGAUUGGUGAAGCACCUGUUAUCGGAUUGUCUGCAACACAUUGGAGCUGUAUAUACCAGCAGAGAAUCUUGAAUUUAGAGGUGAUGAACAGGUCAUGCACCCCUCGGACACAGAAACUUUGGGUGCACCUGAUCACCUCAAAUGCUGUAUGUGCUGUUGUCGAUCGUACUACUGCAGUGUUAGAUUUCCUAACCACGGAGAUGGGGAAAAGAGAAGACCAUUGUUCAUUGCUUCUCUUGCAACUUGAGUCUUGAAGCACAGCAAAGUAGGCAUACACUGUCACAAGUUUAUAAAGAUGUCAGUGAUCCUGUAGGAUAAUGUUGGAUUCCACAAUCCUUUAUGUCAUGUGAUCAAUCACUGAACAGUACAACUAUGUAGUAUUUGCCCCUGGCAGCAUAUAUGUUCUUGCAAGCUUGGAAAUA